ACAUAUCCCCUGCGCACUGUCCGGAGCACUCCUUCCCUUCCCUGGUUCCUCAAGGCACGGCUCCCCCAGGCAGAUGAAAGCUUAAUAGAGUUUUGCGACAUGAAAGUCAGUCGGAGGAAAGAGCCUUGAACAGUUGUGCGUGAGAGAGAGGCAAGCGCCCGAAAUUAUUUUACGACAAAGGCAGCUCUCUCUGCCACAGAGGCACAGAGGAGAAAGGAGCCCAGGAAACGGGUCAUUUCUUUCGUGGAAAAAUGGAAAUGCUCUGAAGCAUUUUGGGAGACGUGCUGUGAAGCAGGUGACACCAGAAGACAAGGACACUGGGGGCUCCCUGCCGGGAGGCGCAAAAAGCAACUCCCGUUCGAGGGUCAGAGGAGCCUGGAUGCUAAUGUCUCUCCAAAGUGACUUGGAGCCAACUGCCGGAAAGGCCAUGCCCUUAGGAGCACAGGCAGGUCCCAGCUCAGUGCCCUUCGGCUUCUUCAAGAAUGUAUACUGAG
rnacentral:lncRNA from 1 species